rnacentral:misc_RNA from 1 species
UGCUGGAGGAUCUGGUAUGCAUCUUCUGACAUCAUUAGAUAACUAAUAUUUGGGCCUUCUAAUUUAGCUAAUUGGUUCUGCCUCUUUUUCUGUGAGAUUUCAAUUGAAAGAGAAUGGGUUUUCCUUUUAGAUCUGUAUAGAUGGUUUUUAUUUGAUUAUGACUUGGCAAGCUCAGUGCUGAUCUCUACUUGUUUAUUUUGCUAGUUAUACAGAAAAAUCUUGAUGUG